GGCCAGACUCCUACGGGAGGCAGCAGUGGGGGAUAUUGCACAAUGGGGGGAACCCUGAUGCAGCGACGCCGCGUGAGUGAAGAAGUCAUUCGUGAUGUAAAGCUCUAUCAGCAGGGAAGAAAAUGACGGUACCUGACUAAGAAGCCCCGGCUAACUACGUGCCAGCAGCCGCGGUAAUACGUAGGGGGCAAGCGUUAUCCGGAUUUACUGGGUGUAAAGGGGGCGUAGACGGCAGCGCAAGUCCGAAGUGAAAGCCCGGGGCCCAACCCCGGGACUGCUUUGGAAACUGUGAAGCUGGAGUGCGGGAGGGGCAGGCGGAAUUCCUGGUGUAGCGGUGAAAUGCGUAGAUAUCAGGAGGAACACCGGCGGCGAAGGCGGCCUGCUGGACCGUAACUGACGUUGAGGCUCGAAAGCGUGGGGAGCAAACAGGAUUAGAUACCCGCGUA
rnacentral:rRNA from 1 species